rnacentral:rRNA from 1 species
AUUGAACGCUGGCGGCAUGCCUAACACAUGCAAGUCGAACGGAUGAAGGGAGCUUGCUCCUGGAUUCGGCGGCGGACGGGUGAGUAAUGCCUAUGAAUCUGCCUGGUAGUGGGGGAUAACGUCCGGAAACGGGCGCUAAUACCGCAUACGUCCUGAGGGAGAAAGUGGGGGAUCUUCGGACCGCACGCUAUCAUAGGAGCCUAGGUCGGAUUAGCUAGUUGGUUGGGUAAAGGCCUACCAAGGCGACGAUCCGUAACUGGUCUGAGAGGAUGAUCAGUCACACUGGAAGUGAGACAGGGUCCAGACUCCUACGGGAGGCAGCAGUGGGGAAUAUUGGACAAUGGGGGAAAGCCUGAUCCAGCCAUGCCGCGUGUGUGAAGAAGGUCCUCGGAUUGUAAAGCACUUUAAGUUGGGGGGAAGGGCAGUAAGUUAAUACCUUGCUGUUUUGACGUUACCAACAGAAUAAGCACCGGCUAACUUCGUG